UAAUACAGAGGUGGCAAGCGUUGUUCGGAAUUACUGGGCGUAAAGGGCGCGUAGGCGGCCUUCUAAGUCGGACGUGAAAUCCCCAGGCUUAACUUGGGAACUGCGUCUGAUACUGGGAGGCUUGAGUGCGGGAGAGGGAUGUGGAAUUCCAGGUGUAGCGGUGAAAUGCGUAGAUAUCUGGAGGAACACCGGUGGCGAAGGC
rnacentral:rRNA from 1 species